CCAAUUUUAGCGAACCUAACCUUUUGGGUUAUGGUCUCGCGAAAAUCUUGUAUUUAAAACCCCACUCUUUUAUAAAAAUUGAAUCUAUUAUAUAUAAAUAAUAAAUAAAGAU
rnacentral:misc_RNA from 1 species